rnacentral:rRNA from 1 species
GAUGAACGCUAGCGACAGGCUUAACACAUGCAAGUCGAGGGGCAGCAUGAUUUGUAGCAAUACAGAUUGAUGGCGACCGGCGCACGGGUGAGUAACGCGUAUGCAACUUACCUAUCAGAGGGGGAUAGCCCGGCGAAAGUCGGAUUAAUACCCCAUAAAACAGGGGUCCCGCAUGGGAAUAUUUGUUAAAGAUUCAUCGCUGAUAGAUAGGCAUGCGUUCCAUUAGGCAGUUGGCGGGGUAACGGCCCACCAAACCGACGAUGGAUAGGGGUUCUGAGAGGAAGGUCCCCCACAUUGGUACUGAGACACGGACCAAACUCCUACGGGAGGCAGCAGUGAGGAAUAUUGGUCAAUGGCCGAGAGGCUGAACCAGCCAAGUCGCGUGAAGGAAGAAGGAUCUAUGGUUUGUAAACUUCUUUUAUAGGGGAAUAAAGUGGAGGACGUGUCCUUUUUUGUAUGUACCCUAUGAAUAAGCAUCGGCUAACUCCGUGCCAGCAGCCGACGG